GCUAGAUAUAAAGCAGGAAGACAUUCUGCAGCAGCAAGUGUUGCACCAGUUGCUACAGCGGCAGGAUUCUAUGCAGUUUCAAGGCCAUAAUCCACAGCUACAAAGUCUGCUUCAGCAGCAAAGACUCAGGCAGCAGCAACAAAUUCUUCAAUCGAUGCCACCAAUGCAAAGAGCCCAUUUGCAGCAACAGCAGCAGCUUCAGAUGAGGCAGCAAAUGCAACA
rnacentral:lncRNA from 1 species